UACGUAGGGUGCAAGCGUUGUCCGGAAUUAUUGGGCGUAAAGAGCUCGUAGGCGGUCAGUCGCGUCUGCUGUGAAAACUCGGGGCUUAACUCCGGGCCUGCAGUGGGUACGGGCUGACUAGAGUGCGGUAGGGGAGACUGGAAUUCCUGGUGUAGCGGUGAAAUGCGCAGAUAUCAGGAGGAACACCGGUGGCGAAGGCGGGUCUCUGGGCAGUAACUGACGCUGAGAAGCGAAAGCGUGGGUAGCGAACAGG
rnacentral:rRNA from 1 species